rnacentral:piRNA from 1 species
UGGAGGUGGAAUUGGCCAGGCUGGCUAAU